AGCAACUUGGGGCAGUGGAAGCACGCAGGGCUCAUAACCAUAAUGUUCCAGAAUUGAAACCUGGAGUUGAUA